CUACUCACUUUGGCAGCACAUAUGUUAAAAUUGGAAAGAUACAGAGGAGAUCAGCAUGGCCCCUGCACAAAGAUGACAUGAAAAUUCGUGAAGCAUUCCAUAUUUUU
rnacentral:snRNA from 1 species